rnacentral:tRNA from 2 species
GGUUUUGUUGCUCGGUUGGUCAGAGCAUCACCUUGGCAUGGUGAAGAUUGUGUCGUUGGUUCGAAUUCAUUUCAUCG